rnacentral:rRNA from 1 species
GGGGAAAAGUCCAUUCCGUUAAACGUUGGGAACUUAGAUGUGGGGACCAUUUCCACGGUUCUCCGGUGUGUAGGCUACGCCAUAUAGUUCCCCGCCCUGGGGAGUACGGCCGCAAGGGCUAAAACUCAAAGGAAUUGACGGGGGCCCGCACAAGCGGCGGAGCAUGCGGAUUAAUUCGAUGCAACGCGAAGAACCUUACCAAGGCUUGACAUAUACGAGAACGCGCUGGAGACAGCGAACUCUUUGGACACUCGUAUACAGGUGGUGCAUGGUUGUCGUCAGCUCGUGUCGUGAGAUGUUGGGUUAAGUCCCGCAACGAGCGCAACCCUCGUCCUAUGUUGCCAGCACGUAAUGGUGGGAACUCAUGGGAUACUGCCGGGGUCAACUCGGAGGAAGGUGGGGAUGAGGUCAAAUCAUCAUGCCCCUUAUGUCUUGGGCUUCACGCAUGCUACAAUGGCCGGUACAAUGGGCUGCAAUACCGUAAGGUGGAGCGAAUCCCAAAAAGCCGGUCUCAGUUCGGAUUGAGGUCUGCAACUCGACCUCAUGAAGUCGGAGUCGCUAGUAAUCGUAGAUCAGCAACGCUACGGUGAAUACGUUCCCGGGCCUUGUACACACCGCCCGUCAAGUCAUGAAAGUCGGUAACACCCGAAGCUCAGUGGCUCUAACCUCACGGAGGGAGCUGUCGAAUAUAGCAUACCUUCC